GUUGAACGCUGGCGGCAUGCCUUACACAUGCAAGUCGAACGGCAGCACGGGUGCUUGCACCUGGUGGCGAGUGGCGAACGGGUGAGUAAUACAUCGGAACAUGUCCUGUAGUGGGGGGUAGCCCGGCGAAAGCCGGAUUAAUACCGCAUACGAUCUUCGGAUGAAAGCGGGGGACCUUCGGGCCUCGCGCUAUAGGGUUGGCCGAUGGCUGAUUAGCUAGUUGGUGGGGUAAAGGCCUACCAAGGCGACGAUCAGUAGCGGGUCUGAGAGGACGACCAGCCACACUGGGACUGAGACACGGCCCAGACUCCUACGGGAGGCAGCAGUGGGGAAUUUUGGACAAUGGGCGAAAGCCUGAUCCAGCAAUGCCGCGUGUGUGAAGAAGGCCUUCGGGUUGUAAAGCACUUUUGUCCGGAAAGAAAUCCUUGGCUCUAAUACAGUCGGGGGAUGACGGUACCGGAAGAAUAAGCACCGGCUAACUACGUG
rnacentral:rRNA from 1 species